UCGGAGUCUGCAACCCGACUCCGUGAAGCUGGAUUCGCUAGUAAUCGCGCAUCAGCCAUGGCGCGGUGAAUACGUUCCCGGGCCUUGUACACACCGCCCGUCAAGCCAUGGGAGCCGGGGGUGCUUGAAGUGCGUCGCCGCAAGGCGCGCCCUAGAGCAAAACCGGUGACUGGGGCUAAGUCGUAACAAGGUAAC
rnacentral:rRNA from 1 species